AGAGUUUGAUCAUGGCUCAGGAUGAACGCUAGCUACAGGCUUAACACAUGCAAGGUCGAGGGGAAACGACAUCGAAAGCUUGCUUUUGAUGGUCGUCGACCGGCGCACGGGUGAGUAACGCGUAUCCAACCUGCCCACCACUUGGGGAUAACCUUGCGAAAGUAAGACUAAUACCCCAAUGAUAUCUCUAGAAGACAUCUGAAAGAGAUUAAAGAUUUAUCGGUGAUGGAUGGGGAUGCGUCUGAUUAGCUUGUUGGCGGGGUAACGGCCCACCAAGGCAACGAUCAGUAGGGGUUCUGAGACGGAAGGUCCCCCACAUUGGAACUGAGACACGGUACCAACUCCUACGGGAGGCAGCA
rnacentral:rRNA from 1 species